rnacentral:rRNA from 1 species
ACUCCUACGGGAGGCAGCAGUAAGGAAUAUUGGUCAAUGGACGAAAGUCUGAACCAGCUAUGCCGCGUGGAGGAUGAAGGCCCUCUGGGUUGUAAACUUCUUUUAUAUGGGACGAAAAAGGGACUUUCUAGUCCAACUGACGGUACCAUGUGAAUAAGCACCGGCUAACUCCGUGCCAGCAGCCGCGGUAAU